GAUGAACGCUGGCGGCGUGCUUAACACAUGCAAGUCGAACGGAGUUGAUUUAAGGAAGCAAGCUUGCUUGAAGAAUUGAAUUAACUUAGUGGCGGACGGGCGAGUAACACGUGAGCAACCUGCCUCUUACAGGGGAAUAACAACGGGAAACCGUUGCUAAUACCGCAUAAUAUGUUGAAAGGGCAUCCUUUUAACAUCAAAGGAGCAAUCCGGUAAGAGAUGGGCUCGCGUCCGAUUAGCUAGUUGGUAGGGUAACGGCCUACCAAGGCGACGAUCGGUAGCCGGACUGAGAGGUCGAACGGCCGCAUUGGGACUGAGACACGGCCCAGACUCCUACGGGAGGCAGCAGUGGGGAAUAUUGGGCAAUGGGCGAAAGCCUGACCCAGCAACGCCGCGUGAGUGAUGAAGGCCUUCGGGUUGUAAAACUCUUUGGACAGGG
rnacentral:rRNA from 1 species